rnacentral:rRNA from 1 species
UACGUAGGGUGCGAGCGUUGUCCGGAAUUACUGGGCGUAAAGAGCUCGUAGGUGGUUUGUCGCGUUGUUCGUGAAAACUCUCAACUCAAUUGUGGGCGUGCGGGCGAUACGGGCAGACUGGAGUACUGCAGGGGAGACUGGAAUUCCUGGUGUAGCGGUGGAAUGCGUAGAUAUCGGGAGGAACACCAGUGGCGAAGGCGGUUACCUGGAGCUUUGCUGACGCUGAUGCGCGAAAGCGUGGGGAGCGAUCCGG